rnacentral:tRNA from 4 species
GCCGCAAUAGCUCAGCUGGUAGAGCACGUCAUUCGUAAUGACGGGGUCACAGGUUCGAAUCCUGUUUGCGGCACCA